UGGGCGUGAAUGUGGAUGAGUGUGCAUGUUUUGGUGUCUCUACAAGCCCAUGCACAUGUGCAUCAGCACAUAUUAUGUACCUGGGCGCUUGUGAACAUGUUAUGUAAGCAUAUAAGUAUACACAUAUAUGUAAAAAGGGCAUCCUGGUGCAUGAGGAUCCAACUAUUUGGGAUCAAUUUAUGAAUCUUCAUGGUGUGGUUUAGGUCUAAAUUAGGUUUGGUUAAUUUUCUAGUUUUAUCACAUCUUAAGGAGUAGGUUGAGUAUUUUUAUUUUAUUGAAAUUUUCGUACUAAUUUUCAGAGAUAUUUUUCCUAGUAGGUUUUUGAGUCCUAUCAUGAAUAGAGUUAUAAUCUAAAAGUCCUACUUUAGGUCUAGGUUAGUUUAGGAAAGUUUUAAAUUCUUUGGAAUUGUAUUUUGGAAAGUUUUUUUUUAUGUGAGACCCAGUGAAGUUACGAAUUUACUAUUUUCUUCUAUUUAGGAAAGUGAAUAAAUUCAACAUGAUGCAGUUUUUGGCUGAACAUGAGUUCUAUCUUGAGUCAAAAAGUGUUAAGAGUCUUGGUUCCAUUAUAGAUAAGUCAAGAGUCCUUUUCCAAAUAGGAAACAUUGUUUUUAGGGUUGUUUGAGUGUCUAUGGAUGCGCGUCCUUGGGAGUGCUGAGUUAUGUAUGAUUUAUGUAUAUUACUGAAUGAAGUUGCACCUUUGCAGAGAUUUUACUCUACCAUUAUCUGUCCUCUUUAUAUUCUUCUUCUCCUCUAUUCAAACCCUUCUUCUUCUUUUCUUUCCUUCUACUUUCUCAUAGUUUUAGCUGUGGAAAAGGAAAAACACUCAGAUCUAAUCAGAUCUGAAAUUUGUUCUCUCAUAUCUAUACUAUUUACAGCCCUAGCUCCAAGGUGUUGCAUCACUUCAUUUGGCAAUCAAUGAAGGGUUAACCCUAUGGUUACCACAAAUAACUCUGAUGUUAUACUUCAAUUCAAGGUCUCAAUCUUUCAACAAAAGAUCUAAGUAACUUUCUUUACAUGAGAUUACACGGUUAUUUAGUUUUGCAUCAUUUUGCCCUUAAUUAGGGCAGCUCUCGCAACUUUUAUAAUAUACUCAUUCCUCACUCUGUUCUUUCUGGUUUGACCACACAUUCUUCUCAAUAUUCACAAUUAUGCUACAUUCAAGUUUCUCUGUCAGACAUUAUUCAUUUCCCAACAACUGAAGUCAUACAACGACUUAGACCUUAUUACCAUUCUAUCAGAUUUAUUCAUACGUGUUGAGGUUUGCCUCAAUCACUUAAACACCCAAAAGCGCCACCACACUCCAUCCAUUUAUCGAUAAUUCUAUUCAAAAUGUCUUCAUUUAUCUCUCCAUUCCUCAGCAUAAUAGUCCUCAUUAAUGAAAUCAAUCACCCUAUGGUAUCUCGUGUAAACCAAUCUUGAGAUGUCAUCUUCAUUCCCUUUUUUGCAAAAACUGCAUUCUGCAGAUUGUGUUUUUGUUGUGCUGAUUUCCAAGUCCUCAGCCACUAAUAUUUUCCUCUAUAAAA
rnacentral:lncRNA from 1 species